AGCGGCGAACGGGUGAGUAACACGUGGGCAACCUGCCCCUAGCUCUGGGAUAACUCCGGGAAACCGGGGCUAAUACCGGAUAUGACCUCGGUGGGCAUCUGCUGAGGUGGAAAGUUCUUCGGCUAGGGAUGGGCCCGCGGCCUAUCAGCUUGUUGGUGGGGUGAAGGCCUACCAAGGCGACGACGGGUAGCCGGCCUGAGAGGGCGACCGGCCACACUGGGACUGAGACACGGCCCAGACUCCUACGGGAGGCAGCAGUGGGGAAUAUUGCGCAAUGGGCGAAAGCCUGACGCAGCGACGCCGCGUGAGGGAUGAAGGCCUUCGGGUUGUAAACCUCUUUCAGCAGGGACGAAUUCAGACGGUACCUGCAGAAGAAGCACCGGCCAACUACGUGCCAGCAGCCGCGGUAAUACGUAGGGUGCAAGCGUUGUCCGGAAUUAUUGGGCGUAAAGAGCUCGUAGGCGGUCUGUCGCGUCGGCUGUGAAAACUUGGGGCUCAACCCCAAGCCUGCAGUCGAUACGGGCAGACUAGAGUGCGGUAGGGGAGACUGGAAUUCCUGGUGUAGCGGUGAAAUGCGCAGAUAUCAGGAGGAACACCGGUGGCGAAGGCGGGUCUCUGGGCCGUAACUGACGCUGAGGAGCGAAAGCGUGGGGAGCGAACAGGAUUAGAUACCCUGGUAGUCCACGCCGUAAACGUUGGGCGCUAGGUGUGGGGCUCGUUCCACGAGUUCCGUGCCGCAGCUAACGCAUUAAGCGCCCCGCCUGGGGGAGUACGGCCGCAAGGCUAAAACUCAAAGGAAUUGACGGGGGCCCGCACAAGCGGCGGAGCAUGCGGGAUUAAUUCGAUGCAACGCGAAGAACCUUACCAAGGCUUGACAUGGGCAGUAAUCCGGCAGAGAUGUCGGGUCCGUAAGGGCUGUUCACAGGUGGUGCAUGGUUGUCGUCAGCUCGUGUCGUGAGAUGUUGGGUUAAGUCCCGCAACGAGUGCAACCCUCGUUCUAUGUUGCCAGCACGUCAUGGUGGGGACUCAUAGGAGACUGCCGGGGUCAACUCGGAGGAAGGUGGGGAUGACGUCAAAUCAUCAUGCCCCUUAUGUCUUGGGCUUCACGCAUGCUACAAUGGCCAGUACAAAGGGCUGCGAGACCGUGAGGUGGAGCGAAUCCCAAAAAGCUGGUCUCAGUUCGGAUCGGGGUCUGCAACUCGACCCCGUGAAGUCGGAGUCGCUAGUAAUGCAGAUCAGCAA
rnacentral:rRNA from 1 species